GAAAACAGUAUGAAAAUGUUCUAUUUCCGCCGUUCUGUCAAAAAAGGAUUUUAACUGUAGAAGAUGCUGGUGAUAGAAAACUAUCAGGAAUGCUUCAAGCUGGCAAUGGAGGGAAAUGUAAAAGACACUGAGAUAUCACAAGGUUUCAAAGAUCUAGAAUAUGCUCACAGUCAGUCUUCCAGAUACUCACCUUAAAGGUUCCAGUGUGUUUUAGG